UCCUCCCUGGUCCGCGAGCCUUGGGUACCCCCAGCUUUUUUUCCGCCAGAGCUGUUUCCGUUCCUCUGCCCGCCAUGCCGUUCCUAGAGCUGGACACGAAUUUGCCCGCCAACCGAGUGCCCGCGGGGCUGGAGAAACGACUCUGCGCCGCCGCUGCCUCCAUCCUGGGCAAACCUGCGGACCGCGUGAACGUGACGGUACGGCCGGGCCUGGCCAUGGCGCUGAGCGGGUCCACCGAGCCCUGCGCGCAGCUGUCCAUCUCCUCCAUCGGCGUAGUGGGCACCGCCGAGGACAACCGCAGCCACAGCGCCCACUUCUUUGAGUUUCUCACCAAGGAGCUAGCCCUGGGCCAGGACCGGUGCGUAGGGGUAGUAGGGGAUCCAUGUGGGACUGCCGCAGACUGGAGCCAGUGAUCCUGCCUCAGGGGGAAAAACCCAUUUCUUGCCCUGCCCAGUAAGGACACAUCAGGGUCUGGAGCUUUGGGGCCCCCUGACCCCUUAGGUUCCUGCUGUUAGGACCAUCUUCAAAGUGCGAGCAGGAUUGAAUGAAUUUCUGGCUCUGCUCCUCAGCGUGAUACUUAUCCGCUUUUUCCCCUUGGAGUCCUGGCAGAUUGGCAAGAUAGGGACGGUCAUGACUUUUUUAUGAUUGGGCACGGAGGGAUCCAGGGCAUCUGUGAACUGGCUGCUUCUUCCAGAGAGAUCUCUUGGCAGAGUGAGGGCCUGGUGAUAACCAGCUUUGGAUUAUCCCGCAUGCAACAUUCCUGUGAUCACAUAAUCCUCUUCUUCAUCCUCAUAUGAAAUAAAUGAAGAGAGCUUCCUCAUUCAAA